GCCCGGCUCUGCGGUCAGGUGACUCGGACCGCGACGGAACCUUUAUCAUGUGACCUGCCGUCAGCCAGUGCGCUUGGUCAGGAGCGGCGCUCACGUCAUACGGCGCGCUGCCGGUUCCCACCUUCCCGCUCACAUGUGACAAGCACGUGUCAGCCAGAUUCUACUAGUUGGCAAGGGGGGGAAAGGGAAAGGAGGGCAAUGACUCGUACCCCUCCCCGCCAGCAUUUCAAACGUGGAACGUUGAUCACGUUGGAACGGUCGGGACUCACACAUCUCCUUGUAGUCUGUUCAUUUGGCUGUGUACAAACUCAAGUAUGAGCAAAUAAGUCAAAAUGCCUGGCCAUAGUUGCUAAGGAACUGCAAAGAUUUCCCAGAAAUGAAUAAAGAUGCAUGGACAUGAUCGGAGCUAUGCACAAACUUCCGGUAUCCUGAUCUGAAUGAUCUCCCAUUUGCCCUUUUGUUGAGUCAUGCUGUUAAGCGCAUUGAAAUAGUAGCCAUAUAAUAAAAAUAUUAAUUUUAAAUAAACCAAUCUGGUAAAAAAUCAAUCCCAAAAUGUCACUGUCUAGAGGUCUAAAGCGUAAAAGAACAGCGACUUCAUUUAAAUCUGGAUGGCUGGAUGAGACUAUAGAGACGGUUACACCAAAGUCACACAGCGUAAUGCUUGUUAAACUUCAUGAAAUAUUCACAUAUCAUGAGGACAACGGAGUGGUUUGUGUAUAUUGUCGAGACGCAAGAGCUUCGGGAGAAUUUUCAACAGGAAGAAUGUGGAAUGGUGUAUGGAAGUUGGAUUUCUUAAAGCAUCAUGUGUCAAAUCCCUAUGCUCAAAAUACGAAGAAUUUCUUGCUGAAGAGAUUGUUAUAGUCAGUCAGUACAAUGACUUCAAGUUUGCAGAAGCCGAAAGAAUCAAAAGCCAAUUGGUUUUAAGUUUCCCGAAUAUGGUGACAUUUGCUCACCAGAACGAACAGUUUCAGGAUCUUGCAAAGUUGUUAGAUAUUGGAGGAACAUUCCUAGCCUCAAGUGCAGACUGUGAGCGUGGCUUUAGCGUAAUGAACACUCUAAAAAACAAACUACGGAAUUGUUUACAAGCAGAUCAUUUGGACAUGCUGAUGUGUAUUAAAAGUUACCAGCUGGAUGGAGGACUGAUAGAUCUGGACAGAGUUUAUAUUGAAUGGGCAAAUGAA